CACGACUCCUCCUGGAGAAGGGGAAAGUUCCACCAUGAACCAGGAGGACAGAACAACUGAGCCCACUGCCAACACCUCCCCUUCCCUCCCUGCCACAUCCCUGACAACCCCAUCCCCGACAAACCUCAAUACAGCAACAUCUGUCAAUCCUUCUAUUACUACAACUUGUUUGACAGAGUCCAUCAGAGUACAGAAUGUGACUGCAGAAGAAAUUCACCUCAGCUGGAGCAGCAGCAGCAGCACAGGCGGCCUCUACAGCAUCUCUGUCAAGGAUGGAAAUGAGAUAAAUACAAGAACUACAAAUGAGACAGAAACUGUGAUUGAAAACCUGCUUCCUGGCCAUGUGUACACCAUUUCUGUGGCACUGUCAUCUUGUGCUGGGAGCAAUCCUGCUUCAGUCACUGUCCGAACAGAUUAUGGUUCCUGUUUCAAAGGGACUGAGUUUUGUUUAGCACAAAGUACUGGCUGUUCUGACUUGAAAGGCGUGGCGUGCUCCAAUAACCAAGCAUUUUCCUGCAAAGUUCGGUUGGAAAAUGAGAAAUUUAAUAAUACACUUUAUAACUCUGAUAGUGAAGGCUACAUAAAUAUGUCUAAAAGACUCAAAACAGAGGUUCUUGAAGCAAUGAACGCUGAACUGGGGAAUAACCACUCUGAUAUUUUCAUUCUGGGGUUCAGAUCUGGCAGUGUUAUUGCUGAUUUUCUCUUUCUGCUGCCAAAAGAAGAAGCCAUGGAUGUGGGUGACAUUCAGACCCGCCUGAGUAAUGUAUUAACGAGCAAGUUUGGGAGCCAAAGUGAAGUGGAAACUGUGUCUGUUCAGACACCAGAUGACAACAUCUCCUCCUGGAGAGCAGCAGUGAUUGUCCUUGGAGUUCUGCUGGGAGUUGCAUUAGUGGUGAUUCUGCUGGCAAUUCUGUUUUACAUCCAUGGGAGGAGAAGAUCAGGUAUGGAUUUUUCUUCAUUGUACACAUGGUAGAGUGAGGAACAGAGAAACUUCUCUUCAGCCUAUCCCAUAUAGGUACUGCAAUGACUUUAACACUGGCAAUCUAGAGAGACAAGACCCAAACUACUCAAUAUUAUAUUUAGGUGGCACUGAAAACAGGGUGACUGAGCCUGGUAGCUGUGGCAGGUCACCUGAAUGCUCAGCUGAGCCCAGAGUCAUCCUGUUGAGUUUUGUGCACUUGCCCAAGGGUGAUUCACCUCCCCUGAGACUCCUAUCACUGUAUAAAAUUACAUAUAUAUAUAUAUAUAUAUAUAUAUAUAUAUAUAUAUAUAUAUAUAUAUAUAUAUAUAUAUAUAUAUAUAUAUAUAUAUAUAUAUAUAUGCCUUUUUCUCUCCUGUGACUGUAGAAUGAGCCCAGGGUAAUUAGCAAUCCAGCAUUUGCAGCUUGAUUAGGAGUUUGGAGAAAAAUGGGAUACAUCUCAGUUAUGUGCGCUUGCUGUAGAAGUCUGCUGGACAGAAACUUGAUUUGGAGGUUUCUGAAUUCAAGGUUUCUUUAAUUGCUUAAUAUGAAGAAAUAACUGUUUAUAUGUGUCAAAUGUAAGGCGUGCUAAAUCCAGCUGUGGUCUCACAGCAUAGUCUCAGAGGUGGGGAAGGCAAACAUUUGGUCCAUUUGAGCCAAAAGUAUUUUAUUCACCUAUUUUUGCCUGUCAGAAAUGGUUGGCUGAGCAAGGACAUGCCAUAUAGUGCAAUUCUGUCCUGCUCUUGAUAAUCCCAAAGUAGAGCCCAGUCCAACAGAAGCGACUCCUGUGGCAUUGGAGACCUUGCUUCAGAUUUCUUCUAAUUGCUCUAGAGCAAUUACAAGAAAUGAUCUUCACCUUUUCCCACCACUCUUCCCUGCAGUCCUGGUGGAGUUUCAUUCUGUUUCUACUGUGGUGCAGUUUUUCCUGCUUGGAAUGUGCUGAACAGAUGACAAAGGGGCAGUUUACUGCUCUACAUAUUUCCAGCAGGAUUUAUGGGUUUCAUUUCAAACCAGCCCUCCCUGUAUCUGUAUAUUUGGAAUUCCCAUUGAGGCACUGAGUAUUAACCCAUGCUGUUGAGGCCCUGGCUCACAGCCCCUGAACACCCCUGGUUUUUGGGUUUUUUUGUGGUUAUUUGGCACAGAUUUGGGUACAUUGGUGCCAGAACUGCAACACAAGCAGAGGUGCACCAGCAGCUCUGCUCUGCUCCCUGUGCAGCCAGCAUUCAUCCUUCUCAUCCCUCAUUCCCUGUGCUGUGACACAGCUCCUGGAACAGCCCUGCUGAGGACCCUGGCUGCAAUAUUAUUUUUAGCAGCAGGGACCUAUGAAACAGGGGCUUGCAUGCCUUGCACUCCCUUUCCUUCCAUGGAGGGUCAAUUUGUCUGUCCUGGCUAAGAUCUGGGGUGUGGAGUCACAGACACCUCAGUGGUGGGAAGAGAGUGAUUAGUAUUUGUUACAUUUCUAUUUUGUGGCUUUUAAAUAUAGCUAGCUCUGGUGUUCCACUCACUGAGUAGGCAUUCAGCAAUGUAUUCUGUCAGUAAAUACAAGUUAUCCAGGGAGCUCUGUUGAAAAUAAAAAUGAGUGCUCUUGCUUGUGUUAAUACUCU
rnacentral:lncRNA from 1 species